UUCAUACAUAUCACUGACAAUCUCUGACAUAUUUCUCUGCAGCCCAGGUACAAAAACAUCUGAUAGACUAAUGGAACAAACUCUGGACAGAACAGAAAACUUCAUGCAAUAACUCUUAUUUCUGUCUCAGCCCAGGGCCUUUGGUGUAGUACAACUUUACUUCCAGUGUUUAAAAAACCAGUUGAUUGCUAUGCUUGUGGAAAGAACCAAUGUUUCAGGACAGGAUAUUAUGAGGAUAACUAUUUGGUUUCCUGGGAAGCAGGCUGCACCGACGAGAACGUUAAGUGCAACUCAACAGAAACAGAAUAUGUUGAUGACACUAUUGUUUUACAAAAGAGAACCACUUGCUGCAACAGCUCCAAUGAUUGCAACCAGGGGCCUCCACCACAAUACAUCACAAGAAAUCAACUUGAUUAAUUCCCAGAGGAUCAUCAGUUAAAGGAAAAAUGUUACAGGCUGCAUCUAACAUCACUCUUACCUGUUGCACACAUGCUUCUUUCCAGGAAAACACAUCAUUCUGAAGCCUUGCCACUUCCAGUGUUCCAGACAUUACUAACUAACAAAAUCAUUCCUGGCAUGGUGUAUGGCUUCCUCUCAGAACUGUCGAAUCACAGAAAGGAAGAAUUGGAAGGGAAGCCAAGGACCAUCUAGUUCAACUCUCUAUUCCAUUAUCAAGCAGCACUUACUAUGAUAAAGUUCUCAGGAUAUCUUAUUUGGUUAAAGGAAAAAGUUAACAUGUGUCUUGAUCCACAGUGUCCAUCCUUAAUGCACACAUUCUCCAUUACUCUCUCCAUUAUUUUCAUUUUCUGUCUCAAGCACUUUCUUGCUGCUGCUUCUCCUGCUUUGUCUUCUUGAAUCCACCUUUCCUUCAAACAUGGUGUUCUAUUCAUCAUCACCUGACUUGAACUGAAAGUUUGUCUUUAUGCAGAGUCUGGAUGUCCACCUCCAGUAACCUUCUAAUUCUGUGAUUCCAUAAAAUCUGAGGAUGGGUCAUUGUGUUUAAUCUUGUGUCCUCUUUUUCUUCUCUAUUCCUCUCCCUUCCCAAAUGGUCCCACCUCCCUGCUGCUAAAAUGAAGCUUCUGAUACUUUUGUUCUCUAUGUAGUCUUACU
rnacentral:lncRNA from 1 species